rnacentral:rRNA from 1 species
AUUGAACGCUGGCGGCAUGCCUUACACAUGCAAGUCGAACGGCAGCGCGGGCUUCGGCCUGGCGGCGAGUGGCGAACGGGUGAGUAAUACAUGGGAACGUGCCCUAGAGUGGGGGAUAACUAGUCGAAGGAUUAGCUAAUACAGCAUACGAUCUACGGAUGAAAGUGGGGGACCGCAAGGCCUCAUGCUCCUGGAGCGGCCGAUGUCUGAUUAGCUAGUUGGUGGGGUAAAAGCCUACCAAGGCGACGAUCAGUAGCUGGUCUGAGAGGACGACCAGCCACACUGGGACUGUGACACGGCCCAGACUCCUACGGGAGGCAGCAGUGGGGAAUUUUGGACAAUGGGGGAAACCCUGAUCCAGCAAUGCCGCGUGUGUGAAGAAGGCCUUCGGGUUGUAAAGCACUUUUGUCAGGAACGAAACGGUGGGGGCUAAUAUCCUCUGCUAAUGACGGUACCUGAAGAAUAAGCACCGGCUAACUACGUGCCAGCCGCCGCGGUAA